rnacentral:rRNA from 1 species
UACGAAGGGUGCAAACGUUGCUCGGAAUUAUUGGGCGUAAAGCGCACGUAGGCGGCUAUCUAAGUCGGAUGUGAAAUCCCUCGGCUUAACCAAGGAAGUGCACCCGAAACUGGAUAGCUUGAGUACAGAAGAGGAUCGCGGAAUUCUCGGUGUAGAGGUGAAAUUCGUAGAUAUCGAGAGGAACACCGGUGGCGAAGGCGGCCAACUGGACGAACACUGACGCUGAGACACGAAAGCGUGGGGAGCAAACAGG